rnacentral:rRNA from 1 species
AGUGAACGCUGGCGGUAGGCCUAACACAUGCAAGUCGAACGGCAGCACAGUAAGAGCUUGCUCUUACGGGUGGCGAGUGGCGGACGGGUGAGGAAUACAUCGGAAUCUACUUUUUCGUGGGGGAUAACGUAGGGAUACUUACGCUAAUACCGCAUACGACCUACGGGUGAAAGCAGGGGCUCUUCGGUCCUUGCGCGAUUGAAUGAGCCGAUGUCGGAUUAGUUAUUUGGCGGGGUAAAGGCCGACCAAGGCGACGCUCCGUAGCUGGUCUGAGAGGAUGAUCAGCCACACUGGAACUGAGACACGGUCCAGACUGCUACGGGAAGAAGCAGUAGGGAAUAUUGGACAAUGGGCGCAAGCCUGAUCCAGCAAUACCGCGUGGGUGAAGAAGGCCUUCGGGUUGUAAAGCCCUUUUGUUGGGAAAGAAGAGCAGCAGGUUAAUACCCCGCUGUUCUGACGGUACCCAAAGAAUAAGCACCGGCUAACUUCGUG